rnacentral:rRNA from 1 species
AACGAACGCUGGCGGCAUGCCUAACACAUGCAAGACGAACGAGACCUUCGGGUCUAGUGGCGCACGGGUGCGUAACGCGUGGGAACCUGCCCUUAGGUUCGGAAUAACUCUCCGAAAGGGGUGCUAAUACCGGAUAAUGUCUUCGGACCAAAGAUUUAUCGCCUUUGGAUGGGCCCGCGUUGGAUUAGCUAGUUGGUAGGGUAAAAGCCUACCAAGGCGACGAUCCAUAGCUGGUCUGAGAGGAUGAUCAGCCACACUGGGACUGAGACACGGCCCAGACUCCUACGGGAAGCAGCAGUGGGGAAUAUUGGACAAUGGGCGAAAGCCUGAUCCAGCAAUGCCGCGUGAGUGAUGAAGGCCUUAGGGUUGUAAAGCUCUUUUACCCGGGAUGAUAAUGACAGUACCGGGAGAAUAAGCUCCGGCUAACUCCGUG